ensembl:lncRNA
CCCUUGAAGUUGAUUUUGCCACUGCUUUUCAGGUUUCCACUACUUGCAGCUGAUUAUAGUUCCUAACUGAUGGAAUCAUUGGCAUUGAAGCCACACUUGUGUCAGAGAUCUUGGUCAGAGAGAGAACAUAAAGUGUCCCUUGGAAUCCUGGGGAAUGUGGCUCAAGGAUGUUGUAGAGGAAGCCCACAGAAGUCUGGGGUGAGUGGAGAACUGAAGAUGUGGUGGCACCAGAGGAGAGAGGGCCAGGAGACAGGCAUGGACCAGGCCAAAUGUGGCAGUGAGAUGCAGGAACAUGAGGAAGAAAACUCAUCGGUGGAUUUAGCAAGCGAGAGGUCCUGGACCUUGGCAGGGGAGAUUCAUGCAGGGUUGUGGAGAGAAGCCAAACCUCAGAGGGUGAUAGAAUCUGCAGCUCUCGGGAUGGACGCUCUUCACAUCCAGGCAACACCACCACCUGCCAUUCCUGGCCAGGCUGCCUUCCCCUUGGUCCGUCAUCCCCCUGCCUAGCCCCCUGCCUGCUCAGCCCUUCAAGAUGGCCCAGCUGCCAGUGCUCUCUGAGGAAGACUGGACCACUCUAUCCCCAGGCUCCUCCCAUCUCUCUGUGUCUACCUUGAAUCAUAUUGCCUGGGUCCAGCUUGCAAUCAGAAUCCAGUGGUGCUCUGCAAUCACUCGAGUUAAAAACCGGAGCUGCCCAAUAGUCACACCCAUCUGCAAUUUCUUUUUAGGACACCGAAGUAACCAUCUUAACAGUCUGAUGAAAAAUCAAUUC